rnacentral:lncRNA from 1 species
CUGGGUGGGGUUAGGAAGGUUGGUAAUUAGGUUUGCUGUCUGGCUCUUAGCAGGACAGAGAUGCCUGGUAGGACUGAGGCAGGCUGCAGAGCACCCCAGGUUUAUGCCAGCACAAAACAGUGAUGUACAAUCUCCUAUGUGCAGGAUGGAAAGGCAUUUUUACAGCUGUUGUGUGUCACACAGUCCAUGGCUCUGUGUGUGAUGAAGACAUUCCUGGGGAUGGAUGCCCUUCAAAUAUGGUAUUGCUGUCAAGGAGCUUUCUUCCUUUUACCAUGAGAACGGUCAAUAAAGUGGGUGCAAAACCAGCUCACAAAUGA